AUGGAGGGCAUAAAUGAUGUCAACAUGGACAAAUCAGAAGAGAUCAUCAUGCCGGGGUUCCGGUUCCAUCCUACCGAUGAAGAGCUCGUUAGCUUCUACCUCAAGAAGAAGAUCCAGCAAAAGCCUAUCUCUAUUGAGCUCAUCAGGCAGCUGGACAUCUACAAGUUUGACCCGUGGGACCUCCCAAAGCUUGCGAGCACCGGUGAGACGGACUGGUACUUCUACUGCCCGAGGGACCGGAAAUAUCGCAACAGCGCGAGGCCAAACCGAGUCACAGCAGCUGGGUUCUGGAAAGCCACAGGAACAGACAGGCCGAUCUACUCCUCCGAAGACACCAGGUGCAUAGGCCUGAAGAAGUCCCUUGUCUUCUACAGAGGUAGGGCAGCAAGAGGGAUCAAAACCGACUGGAUGAUGCAUGAGUUCAGGCUUCCUUCGCUAACCGAUCCAUCACUUCCCAAGAGACCGAUCGACAAGAACAUCCCGCUCAACGACUCUUGGACCAUAUGUAAGAUCUUCAAGAAGACCAGUUCGAUGGCACAGCAAAUGGUGCUGUCUCACACUUGGGGGCCUCCAUUGCCUGGGACAACUCAGCAAGAUCUCUUCUCCGCAAUGCAACCGAUGCAAGCUUCACAUUUUGCUUCGGAGAGCUCCUCCCGCUCAUUGCAAGUUGCAGAGGCACCAGCAAGUCAGUUCAACAGCAAACAUGGGUUCCAGGGACAGCAGCAGCUUCAGAAACCCAGCAACACACAGGAUGGCUCUUCAUGCAAGGUCAUAAGCUUCAACUGCAGUCCAUCUCUGGAACUGGAAGGUCCCACCAUCUUGCCAUUCCAAACACAGACAUCACAGAAGCCCGUGCACACUGCACCACCGCUCUUCAACAUGCAGUUUGGGCAGCCUGAGCAGCAGAUCACUGGAUUUCUGGCUGAUUCUUCUGCAGAUGUAAAUGCCGGCAUGAGCUGCAGGAACCAAGAGUCAUCCACAAUGAAGCAUGGCAAUACUUUCAGUAUGAACAAUGAGUUGGAGGCUCCGGGGAGACUCAACUUCCCAUUCGAUUUAGGAGCAGACUCUUCAGAUGACUGGAAGUGCAACAUACCUUGGGAAUCCUUUCUUAGCCCAACUGUCCCUGCUGAGAUGCCACAGUACUAG
rnacentral:rRNA from 1 species